rnacentral:lncRNA from 1 species
AAAGAAAAUUUUCAAGGAACUCAAAGGAGUUUAUCUGCAAAAAUUUCAAAACAUGAAAAAACCGGGAAAAUUUUUUCACCUGAUAUAUCUGAUGAGAUAUUCUCAUAUAUGAUCAAAAUGCUAAAUAUUUCAAAGUUUGCAAAUAAAACCCUCGAGUUCCUUUGAAAUAAAAACAAGCAUAUGCAUAAACACUUCAUGCAUCAUUUGCAUCAGCAG